CGGGAGGCAGCAGUAAGGAAUAUUGGUCAAUGGAGGCAACUCUGAACCAGCCAUGCCGCGUGCAGGAAGACGGCCCUACGGGUUGUAAACUGCUUUUGUCGGGGAAUAAACCUCUUUACGUGUAAAGAGUUGAAUGUACUCGAAGAAUAAGGAUCGGCUAACUCCGUGCCAGCAGCCGCGGUAAUACGGAGGAUCCAAGCGUUAUCCGGAUUUAUUGGGUUUAAAGGGUGCGUAGGCGGCUUAAUAAGUCAGUGGUGAAAUCCUCUAGCUCAACUAGAGAACUGCCAUUGAUACUGUUAGGCUUGAGUACAGACGAGGUAGGCGGAAUUGAUGGUGUAGCGGUGAAAUGCAUAGAUACCAUCAAGAACACCGAUUGCGAAGGCAGCUUACUAGACUGUAACUGACGCUGAGGCACGAAAGCGUGGGGAGCGAACAGGAUUAGAUACCCUGGUAGUCCACGCUGUAAACGAUGAUGACUCGAUGUAGGCGAUACACUGUCUGCGUCUUAGCGAAAGCGUUAAGUCAUCCACCUGGGGAGUACGCCCGCAAGGGUGAAACUCAAAGGAAUUGACGGA
rnacentral:rRNA from 1 species